UGGGGAAUUUUGGACAAUGGGGGAAACCCUGAUCCAGCCAUCCCGCGUGUGCGAUGAAGGCCUUCGGGUUGUAAAGCACUUUUGGCAGGAAAGAAACGUCGCGGGUUAAUACCCCGCGAAACUGACGGUACCUGCAGAAUAAGCACCGGCUAACUACGUGCCAGCAGCCGCGGUAAUACGUAGGGUGCAAACGUUAAUCGGAAUUACUGGGCGUAAAGCGUGCGCAGGCGGUUCGGAAAGAAAGAUGUGAAAUCCCAGAGCUUAACUUUGGAACUGCAUUUUUAACUACCGGGCUAGAGUGUGUCAGAGGGAGGUGGAAUUCCGCGUGUAGCAGUGAAAUGCGUAGAUAUGCGGAGGAACACCGAUGGCGAAGGCAGCCUCCUGGGAUAACACUGACGCUCAUGCACGAAAGCGCUGGGGAGCAAACAGGAUUAGAUACCCUGGUAGUCCACGCCCUAAACGAUGUCAACUAGCUGUUGGGGCCUUCGGGCCUUGGUAGCGCAGCUAACGCGUGAAGUUGACCGCCUGGGGAGUACGGUCGCAAGAUUAAAACUCAAAUGAAUUGAC
rnacentral:rRNA from 1 species